GUGAGGAAUAUUGGUCAAUGGGCGCAAGCCUGAACCAGCCAUGCCGCGUGAAGGAAGAAUGUCCUAUGGAUUGUAAACUUCUUUUAUUUGGGAAGAAACCCCUCUACGUGUAGAGGUCUGACAGUACCAAAGGAAUAAGGACCGGCUAACUCCGUGCCAGCAGCCGCGGUAAUACGGAGGGUCCAAGCGUUAUCCGGAAUCAUUGGGUUUAAAGGGUUCGCAGGCGGUUCAUUAAGUCAGUGGUGAAAUCUCGAGGCUCAACCUCGAAACUGCCAUUGAUACUGAUAGACUUGAAUAUAGUUGGAGUAGGCGGAAUGUGUAGUGUAGCGGUGAAAUGCUUAGAUAUUACACAGAACACCGAUAGCGAAGGCAGCUUACUAAACUAUUAUUGACGCUCAUGAACGAAAGCGUGGGGAGCGAACAGGAUUAGAUACCC
rnacentral:rRNA from 1 species